UUCACAUGAUUUGUUCCUCUUUCUUUUUCCCUUUCUAUUUUCUUCUUUUGAUCAUCUAGUUCCUCUUGACACAUUAAUUCUUAACUUAGCUCCCUUAUUUGUUUCUUUUUUGUUUAAAGCCUUUAAUUCUUUCUCUUGGGAUUUGUGAGCAACAGAAUAUGCAUAUGAUAUGGGAAUCUGAGUUGCUUCUCAUCAUUUAUCACUUUUGAAGAGAGAGAACCUAACUAACCUUUCACAUAUCCAUGGCCAAAGCACCACCAGUGCUUACCAGACUCCAAAACCAUAGCCCCAAGAAAGCUCAUAAACAACACUCUAUGUCACCACUUUGCCUCUCCAUCUUCCUCCUAGUCACCUGUGUCGCUCUCUUUACUCUCUUCCAAAUCCAAUCCCUCCACACCCCACCUUCUUCUUCAUCACCAUGGUUUCUUAUGCAUCAGUGGCAGAAAGUCACCACCAGCACCCAGGAACUCACGUCCAUGGCUGAAAAGCUUAGGCAAGCAGUCACGUUUCUCCCACUUAAGGAUUUGCGUUACCAAGAAAAGGCCCUGCAAGGCCACACAUGGUUCAUGAGCUCCAUGUAUGAUACUCGUGAAGAAGGUGAGGUACAAUACCAGCAGUUUCCUUCACAAUCCUCUAAUGGUAGGCUACUUUGCUUGAAAGGACGUGAUACCCACGAUGGGUCUUGGAAUUCCUAUGCCUUAGCUUGGCCUGAAACCCUACCUUUCAAUGCUACUCUCCUGAAAGGUUUAACCUUUGUGUCAUAUAACCAUUACAACUAUGAUAAUAUCUGGCAUGGGUUAUCUGCUGUGGUACCAUUUGUUGCGUGGCAUAUAAGAAAUGAGUGUGAAUCUCCUAGUAGAUGGAUUUUGUACCAUUGGGGUGAGCUUAGGUUCAAAAUGGGUGCAUGGCUAAGGACCCUGACUGAGGCAACAUUUGAUGGAGAACCAUUUAUUGAAGGAUUUGAAUGGGCUAAUAAUAGUGAGCCAAUUUGCUUUGAAAAAGCUGUGGUGAUGAGGCAUAAUGAGGGUGGCAUGUCAAGGGUGAGGAGGAUGGAGACUUAUGAUUACAUGAGGUGUAAGGCUAGGGCUUAUUGUAAUGUGAGCUUGGAAGAUGCAAGAAUCAAUAACAAGGGAUUGCCAGGAAUUGGAUUGACCUUAUUUAUGAGAACAGGUCCCAGAUCUUUCAGGAAUGAGUCUGCAGUGAUUGGCAUCUUUGAAAAGGAGUGUGCAAAGGUAGAGGGUUGCAAGUUGAUGGUGGCCUACUCCAAUAAUCUUACUUUCUGCGAGCAGGUGAAGCUGAUGAGCUUGACAGAUAUUCUAGUAUCACCCCAUGGUGCUCAAUUAAGCAACAUGUUCCUAAUGGACAGAAAUAGCAGUGUGAUGGAAUUCUUCCCAAAAGGAUGGUUAAAACUUGCUGGUGUAGGUCAAUAUGUUUACCACUGGAUUGCUAGCUGGUCUGGGAUGAAACACCAAGGUGCAUGGCGAGACCCUGAGGGCGAACCCUGCCCUUUCCUGGAAGAUGAUCGCCGGUGCAUGUCUGUUUACAAAGGUGGUAAAAUUGGAUUGAAUGAGACUUACUUUUCUAAGUGGGCUAAAAAUGUUCUCAAUGAAGUCAAAACAAGAAAGACGGUUGAGGUAUCAAACAAGAGUACUGCUUCAACUUCUAGUUGUGCUUGUAGCUAAGUACUAUAAUCCCCAUAAUAGGAAACUCUUGCCUAAUUUUGAUUUAUC
rnacentral:misc_RNA from 1 species